CGCACACUAAACAGAGCGAGAGAGCUUUUCCCUGCAGCCCUGCUGAAGCCCCUGGUUUUUCACCCGUUGUUGGUGGGUGUAUUUCAAUUUUUUAUUCCCUGGACGAUGGGUUAUGAUAUCAAUGUUCACUGAAGACAAAAGCAGCUUUUUCUGCCUCUCGGUGGUAUGCUAUUGCUCCUCAUCCUCUCCAACUUGUGAGGAACAGGGUUCUCGCUUCUCUGUGUGUGUUUUGAGCCAGCACAGUUACCAAAAUUGAACUUGCUGUCACUUGUGAGCCGUGUGGUCAAGGUGUGAGGGAAGGUCACGUGGAGGCUGCUGCCAAGGUCAAGGUGCAGGUGCGGCACAUGCUCGGCCGGAUCUGGCCCCACCCUCGCUGAUGUUUGAGGAAUCCUCCAGUGUGACAUGGACCAGGACCUAUGUUCUAGGCCAGUUCGAAUAGAGUAGGAAAGAAGAUGCACUUGAAGGAGAAUUGGUGAGCUCCAUCCAGAGGCAUCAUCAGACCCCGUGGAGGAAGGCAGAGCACUGUCCCCGGAGCACCCAGCGGGCACCUCCGGAGAGCUCAGAGUGACCACAUCUGGCAGAAGAAGGAAAAAAUGUAGUUAUUGAAUCCAAUCCAGUGUUUGUGUCUCUCACAUUAUCAACAAAAGUGGUCAAGAAAGGUUCCAGUUGGCCCCAUGAACACAUGGAUAUAGAAGGAGCCACAUGAAGAUGGAGAAAUCGAGGCACAGAGAAAUCAAGUGACUUCGCCACAGUCACAAGCUGGGGAGGACCAGAAAUAGAACCUGAGAGAGCCCGGCUCUGGGCCUGCGUCCUGCCCACAGAGUCACGCUGCCUCCAUCCUCCGGGGAGAAGGCUCCUUGCAAG
rnacentral:lncRNA from 1 species